AAAAGGCUCACAAUUGGACAUACAGCAGAUGGUUAAUGCAAAAUAAGAGCCAUAUAAAGCUAAACGUGACAGGCUUAGUCCUUAUCCAACUCUAUCAGGCCUCAGAGUGUCUCUGGUCCAGGCCUCUGUCGGGUGGAUCCUGUAAAAGCAACCAAAGGCCCCUACAGAAGCUUUUCUCCUAACAUCUAGGCUACAGCUGUCCAUACAUAUGCCAACACAUUCUUUCAACAAACUUUCAAACUGACCAACGGACGAUAAAAAUAUGUAAUAAUAACUUCAAAGUAGGCAACUAGAAAAUGAACUUGAUUGCUUUUUGGUUUUGCUGUCUCCCGUUUCAUUCCGUAAGAGAAGAGAAGGGCCAUAAAAGAGAGAUGUUUUUAAUCUAUUGAAGUCGGUGACGUUUUAGAACGUUGGAACGACGAUCCGUGAAACUGCGCGCGGAAUUAGAGUGCUGCAGACAGACGAUCAUGUGGCUCGAGCGAAAGGAAGACCCCUGCGCGCUGAGCGGCUGAGAGCGCGGGCUUUGGACUCCGGAAGAAGGACGAUGGAAUAGAAUUCUACGUUGCCUGGCGACCGACCGACCGACCGACCGACCGACGGUCGACUGAACUAUUGGGAGUCAAUAUGCCAACGUUUUCUGUCAUGUACAAAGGAGCAGUUAUCAUUAGCAGGACACUAAUGGGUCCGUAUGGGGUAGACCGUGCCGUUCAUGAAAUAGAAUUUACUGACUGUGAGAAUGGACUGGGGAUCAAAGUGAUUGGAGGAAUGAAGGAGUUAACGGGAGAGGAGUUUGGAGUCUACGUGAAAAGGAUUUUACCUGGUGGCCUUGCUUCAAGUGAUGGACACCUCCAGGCGGGAGACCAGAUCUUGGAGGUGAAUGGGGAGAGUUUACUAGGGGUCACUAGUGAAAGAGCAGUAGACGUUCUGAGAUCAGCGUCCUCGAGCAACCAAAUGCGCCUUCUGAUCGCCAGAGACGAGGAAGCCAGGAGAGAGUUUUCAGAGCUUUUGGAGAAGUAUGGAUCCAGCAGUAGUACUGGGUCGACACGCAACUCUCCCAUCCAGCAUGGCAGAUAUCUGGACAGCACAUCGUCC
ensembl:lncRNA